rnacentral:rRNA from 1 species
AGAAUCAACGCUGGCGGCGUGCCUAAUACAUGCAAGUCGAACGCGAAAGCCCCGCAAGGGGCAAGUAGAGUGGCAAACGGGUGAGUAACGCGUGGGCGACCUACCUUCGAGUGGGGGACAACCUUCCGAAAGGAGGGCUAAUACCGCAUGACAUCCCGUGUUUGGGUACACGGACAUCAAAGUCGGGGAUCGCAAGACCUGACGCUUGGAGAGGGGCCCGCGUCCGAUUAGCUAGUUGGUGGGGUAACGGCCCACCAAGGCUUCGAUCGGUA